rnacentral:rRNA from 1 species
UACAGAGGAGCCAAGCGUUGUCCGGAUUGACUGGGCGUAAAGCGCACGCAGGCGGUCGCGCGCGUGGGGUGUGAAAUCUGGCCGCUUAACGGCCAGGCGCCAUCCCAUACGGCGCGACUGGAGUGAUGCAGAGGUCGAUGGAAUUGCCGGUGUAGUGGUGGAAUGCGUAGAGAUCGGCAGGAACACCCAGGGGGAAACCAGUCGACUGGGCAUCUACUGACGCUGAGGUGCGAGAGCGUGGGGAGCGAACCGG